UGGCUCAGGACGAACGCUGGCGGCGUGCCUAACACAUGCAAGUCGAGCGAGGAGAUCCUUCGGGAUGAUCCUAGCGGCGGACGGGUGAGUAACACGUGGGCAACCUGCCUCAUAGAGAGGAAUAGCCUUCCGAAAGGGAGAUUAAUACCUCAUAACAUUGCAGUUUCGCAUGGAACAGCAAUUAAAGGAGUAAUCCGCUAUGAGAUGGGCCCGCGGCGCAUUAGCUAGUUGGUGAGGUAACGGCUCACCAAGGCGACGAUGCGUAGCCGACCUGAGAGGGUGAUCGGCCACAUUGGGACUGAGACACGGCCCAGACUCCUACGGGAGGCAGCAGUGGGGAAUAUUGCACAAUGGGGGAAACCCUGAUGCAGCAACGCCGCGUGAGUGAUGACGGCCUUCGGGUUGUAAAGCUCUGUCUUCAGGGACGAUAAUGACGGUACCUGAGGAGGAAGCCACGGCUAACUACGUGCCAGCCGCCGC
rnacentral:rRNA from 1 species